rnacentral:rRNA from 1 species
AGCAACGCAUUAAGCACUCCGCCUGGGGAGUACGGCCGCAAGGUGAAACUCAAAGGAAUUGACGGGGGCCCGCACAAGCGGGGGAGCAUGUGGUUUAAUUCGAAGCAACGCGAAGAACCUUACCAGGUCUUGACAUCUCCUGACAAUCCUAGAGAUAGGACGUUCCCCUUCGGGGGACAGGAUGACAGGUGGUGCAUGGUUGUCGUCAGCUCGUGUCGUGAGAUGUUGGGUUAAGUCCCGCAACGAGCGCAACCCUUGAUCUUAGUUGCCAGCAUUUAGUUGGGCACUCUAAGGUGACUGCCGGUGACAAACCGGAGGAAGGUGGGGAUGACGUCAAAUCAUCAUGCCCCUUAUGACCUGGGCUACACACGUGCUACAAUGGAUGGUACAAAGGGCAGCAAAACCGCGAGGUCGAGCCAAUCCCAUAAAACCAUUCUCAGUUCGGAUUGUAGGCUGCAACUCGCCUACAUGAAGCUGGAAUCGCUAGUAAUCGCGGAUCAGCAUGCCGCGGUGAAUACGUUCCCGGGCCUUGUACACACCGCCCGUCACACCACGAGAGUUUGUAACACCCGAAGUCGGUGGGGUAACCCUUCUGGGAGCCAGCCGCCUAAGGUGGGAUAGAUGAUUGGGGUGAAG